GAUGAACGCUAGCGGCAGGCUUAAUACAUGCAAGUCGUGGGGCAGCAUGACUGUAGCAAUACAGUUGAUGGCGACCGGCAAACGGGUGCGGAACACGUACACAACCUUCCUUUAAGUGGGGAAUAGCCCAGAGAAAUUUGGAUUAAUACCCCGUAACAUAGUGAAAAGGCAUCUUUUUAUUAUUAUAGCAGCAAUGCGCUUAAUGAUGGGUGUGCGGCUGAUUAGAUAGUUGGCGGGGUAACGGCCCACCAAGUCUGCGAUCAGUAACUGGUGUGAGGGCACGACCGGUCACACGGGCACUGAGACGAGUGCCCGCCUCCUACGGGAGGCGGCAGUAAGGAAUAUUGGUCAAUGGACGCAAGUCUGAACCAGCCAUGCCGCGUGGAGGAUGAAGGUCCUCUGGAUUGUAAACUUCUUUUAUAUGGGACGAAAAAAGGUCUUUCUAGAUCAACUGACGGUACCAUAUGAAUAAGCACCGGCUAACUACGUGCCAGCCGCCGCGGUAACAC
rnacentral:rRNA from 1 species